UGAUAAUUAAAACUAAACAGGGCAGCAUGUUUACCUACUGGAACUGGGAAGUAAAUCCUGAAGAGUACAAAGAAAGAGAGGUUGGAAAAUAGGUCUGUACUUCUUAAAAGUGUAUAGAGUAAGGGGCUAUUGCAGAAGAAAGCUAUGGCAACUGGACUAGGAAUGAAGAAGCUGGACCUGCAAGGGAUACCCCGCAGGCUCUGGAGAUCUGCUGGGCUUGCCAUCUCUGCUUAUCACCUCUGACGUGACCUUGGGCAAUUUACUGAGCCUCUCUGUGCCUCAGCUUUGUCAUCUCUAAGGUGGGCAUAGCAAGUAGUAGCUACCUUCUAUGUUUAAAAUGAGAAUUAAAUAAGUGAAUGUUAGAAUAAUACUAGAAUAAUAAUGGGCAUAAA
rnacentral:lncRNA from 12 species